GUUCACUUUGUGUAAAUAUGGGAUCUGUAAAAUGAUCAGAUCCUGGGUUAUUAAUAAAUCGUCACCGACCUCACAUCAAUUGAGGUGAUGUGAACAUGUUAAUAGUAUAAUGGUCAACAGCCCUGGGGAUAGAGGAAUACGAGAGUGGAUAAUCAAUAGCCCGCCUACCUGGAAUAUUAACUUUCUAUUUUAACUAUUUUCCCC